rnacentral:rRNA from 1 species
UACGAAGGUCCCAAGCGUUAUUCGGAAUCACUGGGCGUAAAGGGUGCGUAGGUGGCGCGGAUAGUCAGAUGUGAAAGCCCCGGGCUCAACCUGGGAACUGCAUCCGAUACUCCCGCGCUAGAGGAUUGGAGAGGAGUCUGGAAUUCACGGUGUAGCAGUGAAAUGCGUAGAUAUCGUGAGGAACACUCGUGGCGAAAGCGAGACUCUGGACAAUUCCUGACACUGAUGCACGAAGGCCGGGGGAGCAAACAGG